GCUUCCAUAGCUCAGUAGGUAGAGCACUUCCAUGGUAAGGAAGAGGUCAGCGGUUCAAGCCCGCUUGGGAGCU
rnacentral:tRNA from 2 species